UAUAUAUAUAUAUGUAUAUUAAUGCCAUAGGGGUGUCAAGGGGGGUACCAAAUGAUUUUAAGGUAAGAAACUAAGUUUGAAUCUAUUCUCCCAAGCAUUACAGCUAAUAAAAUCUGAAUUGGAAGGGAAGAGGUUUAUACAAUAAACAGGAGACCUUUUUCUUACAGGACAUGUAUGACUCAGCUGAAUGGGUAGGUGCCACGCACAUGACUGUUAAUCCCCUCAAACCACACAUUAG